UAGCUUAAAGUAAAUUUACGUAGAAUUUUGAUUUCUAAUUUAAUGGAGACAUUUAAGCUAA
rnacentral:tRNA from 1 species